CCUACGGGAGGCAGCAGUGGGGGAUAUUGCACAAUGGGGGAAACCCUGAUGCAGCGACGCCGCGUGUGGGAAGACGGUCCUCUGGAUUGUAAACCACUGUCCCCAGGGACGAAGAUGACGGUACCUGGGGAGGAAGCUCCGGCUAACUACGUGCCAGCAGCCGCGGUAAUACGGAGGGUGCGAGCGUUAAUCGGAAUUACUGGGCGUAAAGCGCUCGUAGGCGGUAUGUCAAGUCAAGGGUGAAAUCCCCGCGCUCAACGUGGGAACUGCCUUUGAAACUGGCAAACUGGAGUGUGUGAGAGGAUAGUGGAAUUCCAGGUGUAGGAGUGAAAUCCGUAGAUAUCUGGAGGAACAUCAGUGGCGAAGGCGACUAUCUGGCACAUAACUGACGCUGAGGAGCGAAAGCGUGGGUAGCAAACAGGAUUAGAUACCCCUGUAGUC
rnacentral:rRNA from 1 species